UUACGGUUCAGUGUAGGAUUGGUGGGGAGAAUGGGGUGAUAACACUGAGAUCCGGAUUAAGAGUAUAUUAAGCCUCUCACACCCGACUCUCAGCAAAGAGUUCUAGGUAUUUAGGCACUGACUCUGGCUGUGAACUUCAGUUUCCCCCACAUGCAAAACAGGGAUUAAAAAACAGCACUAACAUCCCUGCUGUAAGGACUAACGGGGCCAAAUGUUAGCCAUGUAGCACAGUGCUCGGUACACGGUAAACUCAACAAAUGGCCACUGACAUAACUGGCUUAUUUACCAAUUAUUCAUAAUUAGCUUAUUCUCAUUCUAAUUCCAAAAAUGAGUGGAGUCAGAGGUGCUUAGAAAUCCUGGUUAAUAAAAGGCUCUAGUUAGUCGCUGUUUUACUCUUAACAACGCUUUGCUGGAAUUCCGCUGGAAGGAGGUGAAGGCACUGCCAGGAAUGGAAGGCUUUUUGCCUGGUGCAGAGAAAACACUAAACCUGUGGUGGCCCGACCCAGCACCCCACAUUUGUACAGAACUUUGCAAGGUAAAGAAGAGCAGUGCCCUUGGCUGUCUGCAAAACAUGUUGGUAAGUGAGUUCAAUCUGAAAAAAAAAAAAAGGAAAAGGAAAAGAAAUGCAAUACGGUCUGUCUUUCAGGUUUCCUGUGGCCAAUGGACUGAGAGCAUCACAGAAUUUCAAGGCUGAAAGACCCACAAUUUCCAAAUGUUACACAUCCUCUCUGAGGCCGCAUGGGCCCCCACCCUGCCAAGCCCUUCCAACAGGACAGGGGGAAAAGCCAAGUCAGCAACAGAUGUGCCUGGGCUCCCGCUGCAUUUUCUAGAAGCUAAACUCCCUGAAGACAGGCAUCUGUGAACAUAUGGAUCUGGCCAGAAAAUCUCAAGCCUCAAAGUACCCUUACAGAUCACCCAGGCCAGCAUCUCCCAAAAGGCGUUCCAUGAAACACUGUUGCCAGGAAAGUUAGCAGGUUCCACUCUGUGAAAAGAAAACAAAUGAAACCCAGAGUAGAUGUCAAUCAUCAUGAAAGCUGUUCUGCUGAAACCCUCCUCCUACCAUAAACAGUGGC